rnacentral:tRNA from 1 species
GAGGGUAGAGCUCAGUGGUAGAGCAUGUGCUUAGCAUACAAGAGGUCCUGGGUCCAAUCCUCAGUACCUCCA